GUGUGCCGGGACGGAGUGAAGUGACGCUGUGGCGAAUCCUACCCUUGACUACAGGAAUAACGCAGGGAAACUUGUGAUAAUCCCGUAUGUGUCCUUCGGGAGAAAGAUUUAUCGGUCAAGGAUGAGCCCGUGUUGGAUUAGCUAGUUGGUGGGGUAAAGGCAUACCAAGGCAGACGAUCCAUAGCGGGUCUGAGAGAGAUGAUCAGCCACAUUGGGAUCUGAGACACGGCCCAAACUCUCAUACGGGAGGCAGCAGUGGGGAUAAUAUUGGCACAUAUGGGCUGCGACGCUCUGAUGCGAGCACAUCGCGCGCGUGAGUGAUGAGAGCGCCACUGAGUGGUAUGUAAUAUGCUCUUUCCACGGCGGAGAAGAUCAAUGACGGUAUUCUCGGAGGAAGAANGUCACUCCG
rnacentral:rRNA from 1 species